rnacentral:lncRNA from 1 species
UUUUUCCUCUUUCUUCUUACCGACGAAAGAGAGUCUUUAAAGGAGAGUAUUGUGGUUUUUUAAGAGUUUUUCUUUCUUUUUUUCUUUGUUGCUGUUGGUGAGGAGAGAGACGUUAUUAAGGAGAGAGGUAUCUCUGUGAUGUAGCUGUCCACCAUUUAAUAAUUAUUAUAUUAUUUAUUUAUUAAUUAUUUACUAUUAAAUCCUAAAUUUU